CCCGAAAGGGAGAUUAAUACCGCAUAGAAGGUAAAAAUCGCAUGAUAAAUGCCUUAAAGGAGCAAUCCGCUUUGAGAUGGGCCCGCGUCGCAUUAGCUAGUUGGAGGGAUAAAAGCCCCCCAAGGCGACGAUGCGUAGCCGACCUGAGAGGGUGAACGGCCACAUUGGAACUGAGAUACGGUCCAGACUCCUACGGGAGGCAGCAGUGGGGAAUAUUGCACAAUGGGGGAAACCCUGAUGCAGCAACGCCGCGUGAGUGAAGAAGGUUUUCGGAUCGUAAAGCUCUGUCAUCCGGGACGAUAAUGACGGUACCGGAAGAGGAAGCCACGGCUAACUACGUGCCAGCAGCCGCGGUAAUACGUAGGUGGCGAGCGUUGUCCGGAAUUACUGGGCGUAAAGGGUGUGCAGGCGGAUAUUUAAGUGAGAUGUGAAAGACCCGGGCUUAACCCGGGCAGUGCAUUUCAAACUGGAUAUCUAGAGUGCAGGAGAGGAGAACGGAAUUCCUAGUGUAGCGGUGAAAUGCGUAGAGAUUAGGAAGAACACCAGUGGCGAAGGCGGUUCUCUGGACUGUAACUGACGCUGAGGCACGAAAGCGUGGGUAGCAAACAGGAUUAGAUACCCUGGUAGUCCACGCCGUAAACGAUGAGUACUAGGUGUAGGGGGUAUCGACCCCCCCUGUGCCGCAGUAAACACAAUAAGUACUCCGCCUGGGAAGUACGAUCGCAAGAUUAAAACUCAAAGGAAUUGACGGGGACCCGCACAAGCAGCGGAGCAUGUGGUUUAAUUCGAAGCAACGCGAAGAACCUUACCUGGACUUGACAUCCCCUGAAUGACUCGUAAUGGAGGAAGCCCUACGGGGCAGGGAGACAGGUGGUGCAUGGUUGUCGUCAGCUCGUGUCGUGAGAUGUUAGGUUAAGUCCUGCAACGAGCGCAACCCCUGUCGUUAGUUGCCAGCACGUAAAGGUGGGCACCCUAACGAGACUGCCGCGGUUAACGUGGAGGAAGGUGGGGAUGACGUCAAAUCAUCAUGCCCCUUAUGUCCAGGGCAACACACGUGCUACAAUGGGCAGAACAGAGAGAAGCAAUACCGCGAGGAGGAGCAAAUCUCAAAAACUGCCCCCAGUUCGGAUUGCAGGCUGAAACCCGCCUGCAUGAAGUUGGAGUUGCUAGUAAUCGCGAAU
rnacentral:rRNA from 1 species